CUUCCUGCUCUGAGAAACACCUGAGAGAGCAGCUGAGAUUUGUUUGGUGUGGGACUAAAGCCACAGAACAAAGAGGCUGCUGCGACCAGCUUCCCAUGUGAAAACUGACCGGGCUUGCCAAAAGGGCUAUGGCUUGGUUCCACUUUGGGCACCCCCCCCCCCUCCCCCACGUGCUGUUCUGUGUCUCCAUGUGAGCACCAGAGGAUCCACUUCUGGAAACACAGCUGGAGACCCUCACUUCUCAGAGUCAGAGUGACCUGGAAGGACCAGAACCAGGACCACUUCGGGUUUUGCCACAGUCUCUGAACAGUGUAACCUCGGGUGCUUCGUGUGUUUCAUGUGUAGUCUUUAGUCUCUCAUGAGAGCAUUGAUACUGAUAUUGAUUGUGGAGCUAUAAAGUCUCCCUGCCUACAGUUGGACUAUUAACAAUGACUCAGUGACCCAGACUAUUUGUUUGAGACAUUAAAACAACAUGAUUUUGAUGUAAAUGUUGGCCCAGCUGUAAAUCAGUCAGUGUGCCUAAAUCCAAGUAAGAUCCCAUUAAUUCUGUUCUAGUUUCCCAUAGCAGCUCUGUUUGUCUUUUAGUGACAGUAUCACUUUCAAGUUUUUCUGAAUAAAUAUUGUCUUUGCUGAUCCUGUCUGGUGUGAUGGGCAAAUAGUUUCCUUCAUGCAUUCAGCAAGACAGCCUAAAAUAUAAAUGAACUAAGCUUUCAAAAUCAUUUUUUCUGCAGAUCUACAUGCCUUGCAUCAAUUGUUUUAUUAGCAGUGUUUUCAUAUGCAUUGAAGUGUGAAGUACAGAAGUCUUGAUAUUUGAAUUGCAGAAGGAGGUGACCUAGAAUUAUUCAGCAUUAGUGUUGUCACAACUCUGGUACAGUAUGUGCUUUAAUUCCGAAAUGAAAUCUCAUCAUGUAAACAGGUGGUAAUGUGCUCCUGAUGAAUAACUGAAACCUUAAUGUUUUGUGCCUAAAGUAAUGUUUUAGUAUAAAAAAAAGUAACAGUUCAUAUUGUAAAAUAUGUGGUUAAUUUGAAGUGAUUUUGUGUAUGUGUGAGAGUGGGUAAAGGCUGGAAGAGAGAUAGAGACCACAAAAUUAAAGCUCAGUUUUCUUAACUUAUUUCAAUAUACUGUAUAUUAAAAAACAUUUUCCACAUUAUGAUUGACUCAGUCCCUCAUAAUGAGGUUCAUUUUCAUUGCAGGAAAAGUUCAAAGCUUCCCUGGGAGUGGAGAACAUUGGCAGGACGGGAGCAAUUUUCUUCUCUAUCAUAAUAAUAAUCCUCGUCUUUAUUUUCCAUAAGUGUGGAAUGGAUUAUAGUUUGUGACUCAUGCGCUAUUCAGAUUAAUUUAACACAUUCAAAGCUGCCGUCUAUUGAGCAGCUGGAGUCACUGAGAGUGGGCCCUGCUUCUUUUUUCCAUCCCAUGAAUACUGUUCACAUUGAAUGAUGCAGUGAGAAGUGCAAAGGUCAUAUGAAGCUGAGAAGAUGCACAAAUAUCCAGCUGAUUAAUCAAUGCUAUAUUCUUUUUUAAAAUCUAUUUUUGUAUUAUAUUCAGGGUGGUUUAUAUUUAUGGACACAAUGCCACCUACUGGACUUGAUACAUCAUUAUUGAAAUAUUACUAAACACUGUGCACUCAUCAACGCCAGCAGUUUGUGUUUUUUUUUCCCUAGUAAAAAGAAUGAAUUUCUGUUGCUAUACACUCUAUGUUCAGUCUCAAACUUUAGGUCCUUGUUAAUCACACUUUCAACAUAUUUUUGUUUUCAUAUAAAUGAUUUCUUAUUUUUCAAAUUCAAACAUCCCAGACAAACACAAAGAAAAGAAAAUAACGUCUUCCCUUAUUUAUGUAAUUUUCCUUUUUGACCUUGGUUUCAGAUUUUCUCUAUAAAACCUGUUUUAUUGAAUUUCACUCUGAUUUCACAUUUCAUUUGAAGAAAGUUGCUCUUUCUCUGUUCCUGUUCCAGUUCCUGUUUACAUGCGGCUGUUUAUUAUAGUCACUAUAAAAGCUGAAUUUGCUUCUGCUUUGGGUGUGAAAUUUCCAAUGAGUUAGUGUAGCAAUGUAAGCAAAAUCCAAGAAAUCGGGUGGAGGCAUCUUUUCGGAAGCAGUGAGGGAAAUGCCCUGAAUAAAACUGUGACUGUGUUCACAGGAAUUUAUUUUCUGAUGUGAGAAAAUCAUCUGAAAUGUGACAAAUUGUUGCUGCUUUAUGUAACUUUCACCUUUACUGCUGUCAGUUUUUGUGGUAAUGCACUGCUAGAGCUUCAUUGUAUAAAUGACAUGUAAAAAAAAAAAAAAAGUGUAUAGUACAGUGCUAAUACAGAAUAUCUGAUGUCUGUUAAGAUUUUUUUCUGCAAAUACAAAAGGUAAC